GAUGAACGCUGGCGGCGUGCUUAACACAUGCAAGUCGAACGGAAAGGCCACAGCUUGCUGUGGUACUCGAGUGGCGAACGGGUGAGUAACACGUGGGUGAUCUGCCCUGUACUUCGGGAUAAGCUUGGGAAACUGGGUCUAAUACCGGAUAGGAAUCACAUGUGGGUGUGUGGUUGGAAAGCUUUUGCGGUAUGGGAUGAGCUCGGGGCCUAUCAGCUUGUUGGUGGGGUAAUGGCCUACCAAGGCGUCGACGGGUAGCCGGCCUGAGAGGGUGUACGGCCACAUUGGGACUGAGAUACGGCCCAGACUCCUACGGGAGGCAGCAGUGGGGAAUAUUGCACAAUGGGCGCAAGCCUGAUGCGGCGACGCCGCGUGGGGGAUGACGGCCUUCGGGUUGUAAACUCCUUUCGUCAGGGACGAAGCGAAAGUGACGGUACCUGGAGAAGAAGCACCGGCUAACUACGUG
rnacentral:rRNA from 1 species